AACAAGUGUUUCAAUCGUCCCGACAGUGACUACUGACACUUAAUCCUUUUUUACAUCUAAACUUCAAAACUCUGACAUUGCACACUUUAGCACAGGUUUAAGUACUAAUUCAUCUUCAGAAGUACCACUAACUUAUGCCACUUUUCCACCGCACAUGUAGCUCGACUCGACACGACACGACUCGACACGACUCGACACGGUAGCAGCGCGGGUCCUUUUCCACCGCAAAUAGUACCUCCGGGACGUGGGCGGGGUCGGCUGCGCGAAAGGGCCGUGACGUAUUUUUGUACGCGACGCAAACAACACCUACGUAACCCACACAUGGACAGAACCCACAUAACAACAAUGGAGAACAUCGAUGCGAUGGUAUUCGUGUUCGUAUUAUUAGCUGGCAUGUUGAAGAAGUGGAAUAUGUUGGCUGCGGCGCUGCUAUGGCUGUUACCAGCAUGGUUGCCAUGUCGCUCUCGUGACUUCGUCACACUCUCUGGCCAAUCAGUGGCCGGCCGUCUGCCGACGUCACCUUUUAGCAUCGGCUCAGCCGCUUGGAACCUAGAGCGAGGCGGUACUAGAAAAAGCAGCCACUUCAGGUACCAGAUACCAUGUUUUCG